GGGGAUUUAGCUCAGUGGUAGAGCGCUUGCCUAGCAAGCACAAGGCCCUGGGUUCGGUCCCCAGCUCCCCCC
rfam:Rattus norvegicus chromosome 17, whole genome shotgun sequence.